CCUACGGGGGGCAGCAGUGGGGAAUAUUGGACAAUGGGGGGAACCCUGAUCCAGCCAUGCCGCGUGUGUGAAGAAGGCCCUCGGGUUGUAAAGCACUUUCAGUGAGGAAGAACGCCUGGUGGUUAAUACCCAUCAGGAAAGACAUCACUCACAGAAGAAGCACCGGCUAACUCCGUGCCAGCAGCCGCGGUAAUACGGAGGGUGCGAGCGUUAAUCGGAAUUACUGGGCGUAAAGCGCGCGUAGGUGGCUUGAUAAGCCGGUUGUGAAAGCCCCGGGUUCAACCUGGGAACGGCAUCCGGAACUGUCAAGCUAGAGUGCAGGAGAGGAAGGUAGAAUUCCCGGUGUAGCGGUGAAAUGCGUAGCGAUCGGGAGGAAUGCCAGUGGCGAAGGCGGCCUUCUGGACUGACACUGACACUGAGGUGCGAAAGCGUGGGUAGCAAACAGGAUUAGAUACUCGAGUAGUC
rnacentral:rRNA from 1 species